rnacentral:snoRNA from 1 species
UUCCGAUGAAGAAUUCGACCUUAUAGGAAGUGCCGUAUGACACUAAACAACCAGCGAUUU